rnacentral:ribozyme from 1 species
UAUGAACGAGAGAGAGAGAAGAGGGGGGAGGAUAUCUUCGACAGAUGUUGGAUGUCACUCGCUGAUGCGUCUUUUUUUUUUUUUUUUUUUUU